UACAGAGGGUGCGAGCGUUGUUCGGAAUUACUGGGCGUAAAGCGCGCGCAGGCGGCUUCUUAAGUCCGUUGGUGAAAGACCGGGGCUCAACCCCGUGUCAGCCAGGGAUACUGGGAGGCUGGAGACAGGUAGAGGCAAGCGGAAUUCCGGGGUGUAGCGGUGGAAUGCGUAGAGAUCCGGAAGAACACCGGAGGCGAAGGCGGCUGCUGGGCUUUGUCUGACGCUGAGGCGCGAAAGCGUGGGGAGCGAACAGG
rnacentral:rRNA from 1 species